rnacentral:rRNA from 1 species
CAGCAGCCGCGGUAAUACGGAAGGUCCAGGCGUUAUCCGGAUUUAUUGGGUUUAAAGGGAGCGUAGGCGGACGAUUAAGUCAGCUGUGAAAGUUUGCGGCUCGACCGUAAAAUUGCAGUUGAAACUGGUUGUCUUGAGUGCACGCAGGGAUGUUGGAAUUCAUGGUGUAGCGGUGAAAUGCUUAGAUAUCAUGAAGAACUCCGAUCGCGAAGGCAUAUGUCCGGAGUGCAACUGACGCUGAGGCUCGAAAGUGCGGGUAUCGAACAGGAUUAGAUACCCUGGUAGUCCGCACAGUAAACGAUGAAUACUCGCAGUAUGCGAUACAAUGUAUGCUGCCAAGUGAAAACGUUAAGUAUUCCACCUGGGGAGUACGCCGGCAACGGUGAAACCCAAAGGAAUUGACGGGGGCCCGCACAAGCGGAGGAACAUGUGGUUUAAUUCGAUGAUACGCGAGGAACCUUACCCGGGCUUGAACUAAGCAGGAAGAUGGGCAGAGAGGCCCGUUGUCUUCGGACCUGCUUGGAGGUGCUGCAUGGUUGUCGUCAGCUCGUGCCGUGAGGUGUCGGCUUAAGUGCCAUAACGAGCGCAACCCUUCUCCACGUUUGCCAUCAGGUAUAGCUGGGCACUCCGUGGAUACUGCCAUCGUAAGAUGUGAGGAAGGUGGGGAUGACGUCAAAUCAGCACGGCCCUUACGUCCGGGGCUACACACGUGUUACAAUGGCCGGUACAGAGGGAAGCCACCAGGCGACUGGGCGCUGAUCCAUUAAAACCGGUCUCAGUUCGGACUGGAGUCUGCAACCCGACUCCACGAAGCUGGAUUCGCUAGUAAUCGCGCAUCAGCCAUGGCGCGGUGAAUACGUUCCCGGGCCUUGUACACACCGCCCGUCAAGCCAUGAGAGUUUGUAACACCCGAAGCCGGUGGAGUAACCUUUUAGGAGCUAGCCGUCGAAGGUGGGACAAAUGAUUGGGGUGAAGUCGUAACAAGGUAGCCGU